UUAUUCCUACGGGGCGCAGCAGUGAGGAAUAUUUGUCAAUGGCCGGAAGGCUGAACCAGCCACGUCGCGUGAGGGAAUAAGGCCCUAUGGGUCGUAAACCUCUUUUGUCAGGGAGCAAAGGCGUCCACGUGUGGACGAGAGGAGAGUACCUGAAGAAAAAGCAUCGGCUAACUCCGUGCCAGCAGCCGCGGUAAUACGGAGGAUGCGAGCGUUAUCCGGUUUUAUUGGGUUUAAAGGGUGCGUAGGCGGAGUGUCAAGUCAGCGGUAAAAUUUCGGGGCCCAACCCCGUCGUGCCGUUGAACCUG
rnacentral:rRNA from 1 species